AUAAGAGAAGGGAAAUAAGAAUUGUGCAAGCUUGCAUCCUGCCCAAAGAGCUCCCCAAUGAAGCUUGCUACGAGGGAGCCACAAUGCAAGGCAGAAUCUAAACCAGAAAUUGCAUCUUUGCCUACCUGCAGCUGCAGCUCAUUGGCACAGAGUGCUGGCGAGAAAACAAGUUGAGUCUUGCAGCUGCAAGUGCCAAUAUCACACUCACUGGGGCUCUUCAGGAAAACUGAAGAGUUUGAAUCCAAGACCCAUUCAGCCUCUCCAGACAGUCAAUGGAGGAUUUCCCCCCAAAAGGUUGUAAA